AUGGGGCAGCCCCUGACCCCUCUGCAGGGCACUCCCUCCCAAACCCUGCUAUGGGGCAGCCCUGACCCUGCUAUGGGGCAGCCUCCACCCACUCCAGCUAUGCACAGCCUAUGGGGCAGCCCCUCCUCUAGAUACGCACAGUCCAUAGGGCAGCCCCCUAACUCCACUGUGGGGCAGCCCCCAAGCCUGCUAUGGGGCAGCCCCUCAUUCAGAUACUCACAAUCUAUAGGGCAGCCCCCCCAUCCCCAGCUCAGCCCCUCCAUUGGGGGGCCCAGCUCCCCCCUUUGGGGGUCUCCCCCCAGCUCCCCCCCAGCCUCCAAUAAAGCUUCUUGUGCCCCCCAACUCCUGCCUGGUGUCUUGGGGGGGACAGGGACCCCCCAGCCCCACAGAGCCCCCCAGAGCUCUGCCCCACAGAUCCGGGGGGAGCACCGACCCAGUGACCCCAAAUCUGGGGAUGUGGGGGGAUCCCCCCUGUGCCAGCCCCACCAGAGAGAGGCUGGAUCAAUACUGGGUGGAGGCCAGAUCAAUGCCUGAUCAAUGGUGGAUCAAUACUGGAUCAAUGCCUGAUCAAUGCUGGAUUAAUGCCUGAUCAAUGCUGGAUUAAUGCCGGAUCAAUACCACAUCAAUACUAAGCCAAUGACAGACUGACACUGGUUUGAUAGUGCAUCAAUACGAGAUCAAUGCCGGAUCAAUGCUGGUUCAAUGCUGGAUCAAUACUGAGCCAAUGAUGGAUCAGUGCGGGAUCAAUGCCGGAACAAUGCUGGAUUACUGCCAGAUCAAUACCAGAUCAAUGCUGGAUCAAUGCCAGCUCAAUAUUGGCUCAAAAGUGAACCAAGGCUAGACCAAUGCCAGAUCAAUGCUGGAUCAAUGCUGGACCAAUAUCAGAUCAAUGCCGGAUCAAUGCUGGAUCAAUACUGAGAAAAUGCCGGAUCAACGCCGGAUUCAGACCU
rnacentral:lncRNA from 1 species